rnacentral:rRNA from 1 species
AUUGAACGCUGGCGGCAUGCUUUACACAUGCAAGUCGGACGGCAGCGGGGUAGUGCUUGCACUACUGCCGGCGAGUGGCGAACGGGUGAGUAAUAUAUUGGAACGUACCGGGUAAUGGGGGAUAACCAAUCGAAAGAUUGGCUAAUACCGCAUACGCUCUGAGGAGGAAAGCAGGGGACCUUCGGGCCUUGCGUUAUUCGAGCGGCCAAUAUCUGAUUAGCUAGUUGGUGGGUAAAGGCCUACCAAGGCGACGAUCAGUAGCGGGUCUGAGAGGAUGAUCCGCCACACUGGGACUGAGACACGGCCCAGACUCCUACGGGAGGCAGCAGUGGGGAAUUUUGGACAAUGGGCGCAAGCCUGAUCCAGCCAUGCCGCGUGUCUGAAGAAGGCCUUCGGGUUGUAAAGGACUUUUGUUUAGGGAGAAAAAGGAGCGGUUAAUACCCGUUUCUGCUGACGGUACCUAAAGAAUAAGCACCGGCUAACUACGUGCCAGCCGCCGCGGU